CAGAAAGUAAUUUAAAUAAAAAUUCUGCCUUUGGGAGGCAGUCAUCCGUUACCUCGGCUCUCUGA
rnacentral:tRNA from 1 species